rnacentral:sRNA from 1 species
ACUCCUUGCGCUUGUAAAUCGUGCGGGGCUGGGAGACGGGAGCUGGGCCCGGAGCUGGCCUGGCGGGCGGAUGGGUGUGGGUGGAGGCAUGUUGGGAAUCCUGGUGCAGAGUGGGCCAGCUGUGGCCUCGGGGCUCGCCACCGCGGAGGACUCCGCCUGGGCCUAGGUCACCAUCUCUAGGAAAUGGCUCCUUCCUGCGUGCGCGAGUUGUGAGAUUACUAGUAAGAGCCGCGCUUGUGAAGACGCAGUGCCCAGUUAGUUUGCGCCAGCCUCUGAGUUCAGCUCAGAACACAGAUGAUCUCAUUGAUUCCUCACGUCAACCUUGGGAAAUCUGGGUACUCUGGGAGGUCCACACAUGAGGACCGAGGCUCAGGGACAUCAAGGGACUGGCCUGGUCCCAGAAACAGGGAGUAAAAUGGGAAGUAAACUCAGUCCCACGUCUGCCUGACUCCAGAGUUUGGGCCACUGAACCAUGCGGCUGCCAUCUUGGAGUUCUUUGAGCUGUGAAGUGCUGUGCAUCGUGUGAUUGUAUGUCCCUUUUAUGCAGGUACCAGGAUUUCUAUGCAUUCGACCUCUCAGGAGCGACUCGAGUCCUUGAAUGGAUUGAUGACAAAGGAGUCUUUGUUGCUGGCUAUGAAAGCCUGAAAAAGAAUGAAAUUCUUCAUCUGAAAUUACCUCUCAGACUUUCUGUAAACGAAAACAAGGGCUUAUUCCCAGAAAGAGAUUUCAAAGUGCGCCAUGGAGGAUUUUCAGACAGGUCUAUCUUUGAUCUAAAGCACGUGCCACAUACCAGAUUGUUGGUUACCAGUGGCCUUCCAGGUUGUUACCUGCAGGUGUGGCAGGUUGCAGAGGACAGUGAUGUCAUUAAAGCUGUCAGCACCAUUACUGUGCACGAGAAAGAGGAGAGUCUCUGGCCUAGGGUGGCCGUCUUCUCCGCAGUGGCACCCAGAGUCCUCCAUGGGGCGAGGCUCCGCAGUCUGCAGGUCGUUGAUCUGGAGUCCCGGAAGACCACGUACACCUCAGAUGUCAGUGACAGUGAGGAGCUGAGUAGCCUGCAGGUCCUAGAUGCAGACACCUUUGCCUUCUGCUGUGCUUCAGGCCAGCUGGGGCUUGUUGACACCCGCCAGAAGUGGGCACCGUUGGAGAAUCGCAGCCCUGGCCCUGGGUCUGGUGGAGAGAGAUGGUGUGCUGAAGUUGGGAGCUGGGGCCAGGGCCCUGGGCCCAGCAUUGCCAGCCUUGGCUCAGAUGGGCGUCUUUGUCUUCUUGAUCCCCGGGAUCUCUGCCAUCCUGUGAGCUCAGUCCAGUGCCCAGUAUCCAUACCUAGCCCUGACCCAGAGCUGCUGCGAGUGACUUGGGCCCCAGGCCUGAAGAAUUGCUUGGCCAUCUCAGGUUUUGAUGGUACAGUCCAGGUCUAUGAUGCCACAUCUUGGGAUGGAACACGGAGCCAAGUAGAACCUCUCUUCACUCACAGAGGUCACAUCUUCCUAGAUGGAAACGGGAUGGACCCUGCUCCUUUGGUCACCACCCACACCUGGCAUCCCUGCAGACCAAAGACUUUGUUAUCAGCAACAAAUGAUGCCUCUCUGCAUGUGUGGGACUGGGUGGACCUUCGUGCCCCCCACUGACACCAGCAUCUUUUCAUCCUGGCCUCUAGAAAGGGGAGGAGCUGCUGUAGUAGCAAAGGUACUGAUGUAGGACUCAAGUGACUGCCAGUCCCUGUUACCAGCUGUGUGGCCUUGGGCAAGUCCACCAGCGUCACUUAGCCUCAGUUUCCUUAUCUGUAAAAUGAGGAUAGUAAGAACUACCUCGUAGUGAUAUUGCGAAGGUUAGAAGAAACGCAUGGCUUAAUUACUUGGUAGCUAUUGUUAGAUCUGGGAGUGUAAAAUGGCAGCGUUUUGUCCCUGUCUUCACACUAUCAUAGGAAGAAUCAAAAGAGCUAACAAAUAUAAACGUGCUUUGUGAAUUUUUUUAAAGAAAAAAAUGUAGAGGGGCCAAUAAACAUGAAAAAAAUCCC